rnacentral:sRNA from 1 species
GACUUGGAAAAUCUUUGGGGUACAACCAGAGUAACACUCUCAAUUCCCCAAGCUCGCACAUAGUAAGUACACACUAAGGUAGAGGACACAACAGGUUAGAAUAGUGAUGUACAUUUAUAUUAAUAUCCACUGAGGUAUGAAUGACCCAACUACACUGUUACACAACUUAAGGCAGAAGCGUUGUAAGCCCUGGAUGUUACAGUUUCAAUAAUGACUUUACUGAGUUAAAGACAGGAAAGAAGAUGUAUCUUUCUAUGAUGACUAUGAGUUUAUCCUGUGACUACAGGUUUGUAGUUCUGAAUACAUACAGUUUAUGCUUUUGGUUAUUAUUGUUACCAUUUGAAAGCUCCUGGCUAUAGUUAUUUAGUAUCAUCAACUCAGUGAAAGCUUUCAAGUUUCUAUUCCAAACUUUGUAAAACAUGUUUUUAUUAUUAAAGUGCUGUAACAAUUAUUUUAGUGUCUUAAAUAUUUGAAGAUAGGAACAUAAUUUAUGAUAGUUACAUUAAAUAAUUCCAGCAUUUGCGAGAUUUGAGGCAGGUGGAUGGAGACCUUGAGGUCAGCCCGGGUUCCAUAGUGAAAUGCUCUCUUUAAUUAGAAGGUAUUAAUGUGAAAUCCAGAACCUAUAGACAAUAGAGUGAAUGAGGACACAGCAGACAGUACUGAGUGCCUGUUCCACUAAAGCUUGAGUAGAAUGAAUGGUCUAACUACUUAUCUGCUUAAUUUCCUGCUAAGCCAGACAUGAUCACAUCAAUUUCCUUUAUGAGCAAAUGUUACACAAUUACAACAUUGAGGGGGAGAGAAGUAAUUUUGAACUCUAAACAACAGGACCAUGAAUUGAUUGAGUCAACACAACUAGAAGGAACAACUCCUACCCUAGUUGGAAAGUUUAGUUGUAAGGAAUGAGUGCAGCAUUUGCCACACUGUGGAAGAGGCCUUGCCGAUUGCAAAAGAAAGGAAACUAAAUCACUUUUUAAAUUAAUCACACUUUGAAACUUGUCAUUAUUGUUUGUACGUAUUUGUUAUGAGAGUGGGAAUUUCUACUACCCAAGAAGAGAAUGUGAACUUUGAUUUUUUUUAAGUGUUCACACACAAAAGGGUUGGUUGGCUCUCAGCCACAAAUAAAUGUAAAAGUUGUCCCUAUGGCACAAGAACUCCCAUAGCCAGGGGAAACAAUGAGAUUAACUGCUGAGUUCUUUCAUUCAUUUGCUUUCAACAGUCCGUUGCCUUCCCUGAUUGCUUCUCUGCAUCUCUAGAGAAAUUACAGUUCAGAUUUGCCUGGAUCUGAACUGCACAUAAGUGGUUUCACAUGCUGUUCUCUGUGAUUGGCUUCCCUCCUCCCCAUGGCAUCUCUAGGUUCCUCUGCGUGGACUCGUGCCCUGUGAGUCAUCUCUGCGCCGAGACAUUGGUAUAUCUGAAUCCACUUACCGAGUUCCACAUCAAAUCCAAGCAAACGACAGAAGCUUGAGCUAUGGUUUUUGCAAUGGAUUCAUGGUUCAGCAUGAGGAUAACUGACAGCUUUAUAUCGCCAAGGCUUCCUGAUCCAAGGAUGAGUGUACAGCCCAUCUUUCCAUGUGUCUGACCCAUCUUUAAUGACCCCCCAAUCCUGCCUUCAGCUCCAGCCUUAUUUGUCUUGCCACUCCCUGGUGCCAGCAUACUCCUGCUAUCCUUAAUGACUUUCAUGUCUCAAAGUCACCAUGCCUUUUGUGCUCCUCCACCUUUGUACAGACUGUUCUGCCCUCCCGGGAACACCCUCUGCCCUCUCCCUCCUUCCCGUGACUAACUCAGACUGACUGUUCCACACUGGGUUAAGUCUUCUCGUCAGAGAAACUUUAUUAAGACAGUAUCCCCCUUUUUUUGUCCCGAUGACCCCCAACCCAGUCAUUGUUCAAUUCUGGUGGAAUAGUUUAUAUAUUUAUAUGCUAACAAUAGCUAGAAAUUUCAGGAGAGGGACUAUAUUCUGUAUCAGGGUACUGUGACAUCCAGCUGAUUCUCAUUAGACAAGUGAGUGUUGACAUCUGUGAGUGUUUAUGCAGCUUGGGGAUCACCGUGAUGACAGUCACUGCCAGAGUCCAGAAGCGCCCUGGACCCUGAGAUACUGGUGUUUGUGAAUGUUUCCUCCCUUAGAGGUGGCUUCAUAUACACCUUCAAAACUUGACCACUCUUUGGAACAUUUGCUUCCAAUGUCUAUUCAAAUUACUAAAGACCGUCCCAGCUUCUGCCUAGAAGUUGAAGGGCUGAAAUGAGAAGUGCUUACAUCCAAAGAUGAAGGCGCUUCUGGAACUCUUUUGUCUGAGACCAGAACCAUUUUCAGACAGGAUACUUCAGAGAGUAGCCUGCUCCUGCAUUCCGGAAACCGUCCCAGGCUGCUUCCACUAUUGGAGACUUUGGUGCUGAUGAAGAAACGAUAUCCUGAGUUUAAAAUGGGUGCCUAAGAGAAUAAAUAUGAACUAAUAGCCUUCUUCUGUGGGGGUCACGUGAUAAGAUCUGAAGCGUCAUUCACUGGCAUUUCUGACUAAUGAACGAGCAAAGUCCUUUCUCUAAAAGGUACACGAGCAACCUCAGUCACUUGUCUUUGCCAUGCGCUAGUGGAGUAUGCAGCUUCUCUAUCUCUUAGUGGCCAGAGGCGGAGGUCUCAGUGCUUCCUUGGUCUCAUCAGGGUGGACAUGCUUUUUUUCCACUAAAAGGGUGCAACGUGAACCAUUCUUCUCUGCUCACUGAGAGUGUAACCGGGUAGAGCUGUUGCCGGUAUCGUCAGUAGUCAUGGCCUUACCAUAUUCACUUCUGUGGUUAACAUCUCAGAUUAUCAAAGGGAGCACUGUAAGAACUGACAGAGUCAAGAUCCACUCAAUGAAGGUGCUUCUGGAACUGUUCAAUUCUGAGAGUUUGUAGUGUAGGUGGAUUGGACAUUCUCAGAGACAGGACUUUGUAACCCAUAAAGGUUAAACCCAGUUCAGAGAAACACUCUACUUGAGAAGGAGUUGGAUGCAAAAACAAAGAUAAAUGAACACAUUCUAUUUAGCCAUGUGUUACAGCAGAUAAAAAUGAUCUGAGAACCGAUUGUUCUUAAGAACCAGGAAAGAAACCAAACUGGUAAGAUCUAGUUCUUCUAAUGCUUCAAUGUGUUCUAGUUCUCCUUAAGGUAGCACUAGCACUCAGUCUGCAGACUUAAAACAUAAAAAACAAACAAACAAACAACAAGAAGUGAUUCACACAAUCGAACCCCAGGGUGCCCAGGUAGGAGGCAGUACAAUCCUUGGGCUGAACUAAAAGAACACAGAUGGGGUGCUAGCUCUUAUUUCCAUCGCUGUAAAACCACUGUCCGUCUCAUCAGAUAUAAGAUGAAGCCACGCGCCUCAUUGGUAUGCUUCGUGUGUUGUAAGGGGCAUGGCAUGCCUCGUUGUUUUUAUUGAGGAAACCUGGCAUAAGCUCCCUUGUCCCAUGUGUUUGCAAAACAAAUGUUCAAAUUCAGAAUAAUGCCCUAAUGCCCUGGUUCUCAAUCUUUAAUGCAGUUCCUCACCCUGUGGUGACCUCCAACCAUAAAAUAAUUUUGUUGCGCCUUCAUAACUGUACUUUUGCUACUGUUAUAAACUAUAAUGUAAUAUCUGUUAUGUAGUAUAUCUGAUAUGUGACCCCCAAAAGGGUCUUGACCCUCAGGUUGAGAACCACUGGUCUAAUGAGACUUUAAGAACUCAUAGCUAUUCUUCAAAACAACUAUCUUUUUCUGUCUCUCUACUCACACUCAGAUAUAUUAAUUGUACACACAUGCUACAGGCUUGCUUAGACAGUGAUUCAAGUGCUAGUUUUGCCUGAUGUCUCUGAAGCCUUAGCCUAUUCCUGGGGCCGGUUUACACUUCUGCUUAACGCCUCCACAAAGGAACUUUGUUGCAGCAGGAAUAGGGAGUAGCCAUACAGAGUCUGCUAUCUUAGCAGAUACAGGACUCAUCUGCUGACCCUGACCUGGAUUAUGUUUCAUUGAAGGGGUGACUUUUCUGAGAGUGAGGGACUCUUUACCUGGGUACACAUUAUAAAUGCUUUCCCCAUUUUGGUAUAUUUUACAAUUUUCUUGGAGUUGUACACACACACACACACACACACACACACACACACACACACACACACCUUUACAAACAUGCUAAAGAAAGAAAGCACAUUUAACGGUUCCACUCUAAAGAGAGCAUGCUGUUUUGAUGAGCAUUUUGUUUCUUUCAAAUAAACAUUGUUAUGACUUUAUCCUAGAGAUUUGGAGAAAAGCCACUAAAUAAAUGCACUAAAGCCUGAA